AUGCUCCCCUCCAAGGACCGACGCCUCCGUCCUGCCUCCUCCCCAGCUGGCCCGCUGGAUGGCUGGCGCCGCCCGGCCACCGCCUCCCACCCCUCCGCCCGGCCACCGCCUACUGCGCCCACGACCACCACCACCCCACCGCACGACGCUGUUCUAGCCAUCUUCCUCCCCGCCGCCACUCUGGAUCCGGCAGUCACUGCGUUUCUCGUGUCGGAUCCAGCCGCCGUUCAGCCAGAUCUGCCGCCCGGCGUGCUACACCGGACACGCGCGGCGGUGGCGCUGGUACUGCGCGGGCGGUGGAGAGGGAGGAACACCACCUCGACGCCGCUGCCCCUGCCAUCUCCCGGCCUCGUCGACCAUCCCCUCGCCUCGUUCUGCGUCACCGUUGAGGAACAUGCAGUACGGCGCAGGCAGUUCGGCCAUUGUGGCAGUGCAGCUCGGAGGCGCGCGUAA
rnacentral:rRNA from 1 species